UCCCUCUCUAUCUCUCUCUCUCUCUCACAAGGCUGAUUAUUGUUGUGUCUUUUAACUCUCUCUGCUCAGAGACUGGGGCGCAUUUGUUUUAUUUUGUGUUUCUUUGUGAAAGACCCAAAGCAAAUAACAGACAAUAGCCCAUUGUGGAGUUCUUGUAAUAUAACUUCUCUCUCUUGUUAGAAGCUUUUCUCUCGCAGAUCUAUUACCCAUCCUUUUACUCCUUUUAGUAUUGGACCCUUGUGUUUGUUUCAUUUGAGUUAGAUAUGAGUAAAGAAGAGUUCUUGAAGAUCCAGGUACCCAUUCUCUUUGUUCUUUUCUUAAAUUGCUCUGCUUCGUUCUCACCUAUUUUUUUUAUUGUAAUUGUUUAAGCUUAUUCAUUCUUUUGGGGCAAGCUGGGCAUCCACUUUUUGAAAUGAUUUCUCUCAUUAGUCAUUGCUCUGGUUUUUUCUUUGGGUUGCUUGUGCAUGCAGACUUGUGUAUUAAAAGUGAACAUACACUGUGAUGGCUGUAAGCAGAAAGUGAAGAAAAUCUUGCAGAAAAUUGAUGGUAUCUUUACUCAACUCAUAUUUUUUAUUAUAUACCAUUUUUCAAAAACAGAUGGACAUUAACAUUUUUUUUUUGGUUAUAUUUUUAUUAUACGCACAUUUGACCUCUGUUUAGUUGAUUUUCUUUGUUACUUUGGGCAGGUGUUUUCACCACCAAAAUAGAUUCAGAACAAGGGAAGGUAACAGUCUCUGGUAAUGUAGACCCAGCUGUACUGAUAAAGAAGCUUGCGAAGUCGGGCAAACAUGCUGAGCUCUGGGGUGCUCAAAAGGCCAACAACAACCAGAACAAUUUGGCUAACCAGUUUAAGAACAUGCAAGUGGAUAAUGGCAAAGGUGGUAGCAAAGACCAGAAGGGUAACAACGGCCAAAAGGGUAACAACAACCAGCCCAAAGGUGGUCAGCAAAACCAGCACCAACAGAACCAGCAGCAGCAACUCAACCAACAGAUGCAACAGCUGCUGCAACAACAACAAAACAUGAAAGCAUUCCAAGAUCUGAGUAAGCUUCCCCAGUUCAAAGACCUAAAAAUGCCUCCUAAUAACAACCAGAACCAGAAAGCUGUCAGGUUUGCCCCCCUUGAGGAUGAGGACUUGAGUGAUGACGACUUUGAUGAGUUGGAUGGCGAGGAUUUUGAUGAUGAGGAUGAUUUUGAUGACGAGCUGGAUGAUCCUCGACAUCCGCUUAGUAAGAUGAAGCCCAAUAUGCCCAGUGGCAACAUGAUGAUGAAUGGUUGGCCACCCCACCUCUUGAAUGCUCAAAAGGGUGCUGCAAAUGACGGUGGCAACGGUAAGAAGGGGGGAGGCGGCGGUAACGUAAAUGGAGCUGUGCCUGUACAAGCAAAUAUGGGUGGUGGUAAAAAAGGCGGUGGAGGCAGCGGCGGCGGUAAUAAUAACGGAGGAAAUCAGAAUCAAGGUGGCAAAAAUGGUGGUGGAAAACCACAAGAUGGCAAAAACGGUAACAAUGGAGGUGGUGGUAAUAACAAGAACGGUAACAACGGCAGUACUGGCGGUGCUGGAAAUGGUAAUAACAUGCAAAUGAACGGCGGUAAAAAGGGAAAUAACGGCGGCGGCGGCGGCGGUGCUGCUGCUAUGAGUGAUGCUUUUGGCGGUAUGGGUGGGCCCCAUGGUAAUAUGGGUCAAAUGGGUAACCUGAACAUACCCAUGGGUCAAAUGGGCAAUAUGCCCAUGGGCCAAAUGGGAAAAAUUCCUGCUGUUCAAGGGCUACCGGCUGCUGCUGCCAUGAGCGGCGGAGGCGCAGGCCCUAAUGGGUACUUCCAGGGAGCGGGGCCAGAUCUUAUGCCUGGUAAUCCAUAC
rnacentral:misc_RNA from 1 species